rnacentral:tRNA from 1 species
AGUGCUUUAAGUUAAACUAAACUGUUUGCCUUCAAAGCAAAAAAUAGUGAAAAUCACUAAGCUCUG